rnacentral:rRNA from 1 species
AACGCGAAGAACCUUACCUACCCUUGACAUGCCCGGAAUCCCGCAGAGAUGUGGGAGUGCCCGAAAGGGAGCCGGGACACAGGUGCUGCAUGGCUGUCGUCAGCUCGUGUCGUGAGAUGUUGGGUUAAGUCCCGCAACGAGCGCAACCCUUGUCACUAGUUGCUACGAAAGGGCACUCUAGUGAGACUGCCGGUGACAAACCGGAGGAAGGUGGGGAUGACGUCAAGUCCUCAUGGCCCUUAUGGGUAGGGCCUCACACGUCAUACAAUGGCCGGUACAAAGGGCUGCCAACCCGCGAGGGGGAGCUAAUCCUGGAAAGCCGGUCGUAGUCCGGAUUGCAGUCUGCAACUCGACUGCAUGAAGUCGGAAUCGCUAGUAAUCGUGGAUCAGCAUGUCACGGUGAAUACGUUCCCGGGCCUUGUA